rnacentral:rRNA from 1 species
ACGAACGCUGGCGGCGUGCCUAAUACAUGCAAGUCGAACGCUUCUUUUUCCACCGGAGCUUGCUCCACCGGAAAAAGAGGAGUGGCGAACGGGUGAGUAACACGUGGGUAACCUGCCCAUCAGAAGGGGAUAACACUUGGAAACAGGUGCUAAUACCGUAUAACAAUCGAAACCGCAUGGUUUUGAUUUGAAAGGCGCUUUCGGGUGUCGCUGAUGGAUGGACCCGCGGUGCAUUAGCUAGUUGGUGAGGUAACGGCUCACCAAGGCGACGAUGCAUAGCCGACCUGAGAGGGUGAUCGGCCACAUUGGGACUGAGACACGGCCCAAACUCCUACGGGAGGCAGCAGUAGGGAAUCUUCGGCAAUGGACGAAAGUCUGACCGAGCAACGCCGCGUGAGUGAAGAAGGUUUUCGGAUCGUAAAACUCUGUUGUUAGAGAAGAACAAGGAUGAGAGUAACUGUUCAUCCCUUGACGGUAUCUAACCAGAAAGCCACGGCUAACUACGUGCCAGCAGCCGCGGUAAUACGUAGGUGGCAAGCGUUGUCCGGAUUUAUUGGGCGUAAAGCGAGCGCAGGCGGUUUCUUAAGUCUGAUGUGAAAGCCCCCGGCUCAACCGGGGAGGGUCAUUGGAAACUGGGAGACUUGAGUGCAGAAGAGGAGAGUGGAAUUCCAUGUGUAGCGGUGAAAUGCGUAGAUAUAUGGAGGAACACCAGUGGCGAAGGCGGCUCUCUGGUCUGUAACUGACGCUGAGGCUCGAAAGCGUGGGGAGCAAACAGGAUUAGAUACCCUGGUAGUCCACGCCGUAAACGAUGAGUGCUAAGUGUUGGAGGGUUUCCGCCCUUCAGUGCUGCAGCUAACGCAUUAAGCACUCCGCCUGGGGAGUACGACCGCAAGGUUGAAACUCAAAGGAAUUGACGGGGGCCCGCACAAGCGGUGGAGCAUGUGGUUUAAUUCGAAGCAACGCGAAGAACCUUACCAGGUCUUGACAUCCUUUGACCACUCUAGAGAUAGAGCUUCCCCUUAGGGGGCAAAGUGACAGGUGGUGCAUGGUUGUCGUCAGCUCGUGUCGUGAGAUGUUGGGUUAAGUCCCGCAACGAGCGCAACCCUUAUUGUUAGUUGCCAUCAUUUAGUUGGGCACUCUAGCAAGACUGCCGGUGACAAACCGGAGGAAGGUGGGGAUGACGUCAAAUCAUCAUGCCCCUUAUGACCUGGGCUACACACGUGCUACAAUGGGAAGUACAACGAGUCGCAAAGUCGCGAGGCUAAGCUAAUCUCUUAAAGCUUCUCUCAGUUCGGAUUGUAGGCUGCAACUCGCCUACAUGAAGCCGGAAUCGCUAGUAAUCGCGGAUCAGCACGCCGCGGUGAAUACGUUCCCGGGCCUUGUACACACCGCCCGUCACACCACGAGAGUUUGUAACACCCGAAGUCGGUGAGGUAACCUUUUGGAGCCAGCCGCCUAAGGUGGGAUAGAUGAUUGGGGUG